GACGAACCGUGCGAACGUUGUUCGGAAUCACUGGGCUUAAAGGGCGCGUAGGCGGCUUGCCAAGUCAGUGGUGAAAUCCUGCAGCUUAACUGUAGAAGUGCCUUUGAUACUGGCAAGCUAGAGGGAGGUAGGGGUCUGUGGAACUUCUGGUGGAGCGGUGAAAUGCGUUGAUAUCAGAAGGAACGCCGGUGGCGAAAGCGACGGACUGGACCUCUUCUGACGCUGAGGCGCGAAAGCCAGGGGAGCAAACGGG
rnacentral:rRNA from 1 species